rnacentral:rRNA from 1 species
UACGAAGGGGGCUAGCGUUGCUCGGAAUUACUGGGCGUAAAGCGCACGUAGGCGGCUUGUUAAGUCAGGGGUGAAAUCCUGGAGCUCAACUUCAGAACUGCCUUUGAUACUGGCGAGCUUGAGUUCGGGAGAGGUGAGUGGAACUGCGAGUGUAGAGGUGAAAUCGUAGAUAUUCGCAAGAACACCAGUGGCGAAGGCGGCUCACUGGCCCGAUACUGACGCUGAGGCACGAAAGCGUGGGGAGCAAACAGG